GGAAGAGCAAUUCCCAUUGAAAUGUCAAUGACAAACUGGGCACUGAUGUGAAACCUGAUACAAAAUGCACAGAAAAAUAAGCUUUUGACCCAGUUGAUCCAUUUACAUGAAUUUAAUGGAAUCUAUAAUCCCCCAAAACUGGCUCCUUUCCCAGAUUAUGUAUAAUUUGGGCUAAUCAUAGAAGAAAGCGAUCAGAGGUUAGCAGAAACACCCCUCAGAGACUCCAGAAAAAUCACCCUGCUGCAAUCUUUCACUCUGAUCUCUUCCCCUGUUCUUCCCAAACAAGUACCUCAAUGCAGUCUUUGUUAUGUGGAGUCCUGAGGUACAGUUUCCCACUGCUGGCGUUCAACUCAUCUUUCCAACUCCAGCUUCCAAACAACACCA
rnacentral:lncRNA from 1 species